rnacentral:rRNA from 1 species
CUACGGGAUGCACCAGUGGGGAAUAUUGCACAAUGGGCGCAAGCCUGAUGCAGCAACGCCGCGUGAGGGAUGAAGGCCUUCGGGUUGUAAACCUCUUUUAGCAGGGAAGAAGCGAAAGUGACGGUACCUGCAGAAAAAGCACCGGCUAACUACGUGCCAGCAGCCGCGGUAAUACGUAGGGUGCAAGCGUUGUCCGGAAUUAUUGGGCGUAAAGAGCUCGUAGGCGGUUUGUCACGUCUGCUGUGAAAAUCCAAGGCUCAACCUUGGACUUGCAGUGGGUACGGGCAGGCUAGAGUGCGGUAGGGGAGAUGGGAAUUCCUGGUGUGGCGGUGGAAUGCGCAGAUAUCAGGAGGAACACCAAUGGCGAAGGCACAUCUCUGGGCCGUAACUGACGCUGAGGAGCGAAAGCGUGGGGAGCGAACAGGAUUAGAUACCCAAGUAGUC